GACGAACGCUGGCGGCGUGCUUAACACAUGCAAGUCGAACGAGACGAUUGAAAGCUUGCUUUUGAAAGUCGAGUGGCAAACGGGUGAGUAACGCGUAGACAACCUGCCUUUGAGAUGGGGACAACAGUUCGAAAGGACUGCUAAUACCGAAUGUUGUAUAUUUUCCACAUGGAAGAUAUAUUAAAGAUGGCCUCUAUUUAUAAGCUAUCGCUCAAAGAUGGGUCUGCGUCUGAUUAGCUGGUUGGUGGGGUAACGGCCUACCAAGGCGACGAUCAGGAGCCGGUCGGAGAGGAUGAACGGCCAGAUGGGGACUGAGACACGGCCCAGACUCCUGCGGGAGGCAGCAGUGGGGAAUCUUCCACAAUGGACGAAAGUCUGAUGGAGCAACGCCGCGUGAGUGAAGAAGGGUUUCGGCUCGUAAAGCUCUGUUGUCGGGGACGAAUGUGCAGUAUUUGAAUAGAGUAGUGUAAUGACGGUACCUGACGAGGAAGCCACGGCUAGCUACGUGCCAGCCGCCGCCGUAAUAC
rnacentral:rRNA from 1 species